AGGGAGGUUUGUAAACAAUAAGAACUGCUAAUUCUUUUUAUCAGAGUUAGAUUCCCUGGCUCCCUU
rnacentral:tRNA from 1 species